rnacentral:rRNA from 1 species
UACGUAGGGUGCAAGCGUUGUCCGGAAUCAUUGGGCGUAAAGAGCUUGUAGGCGGUUUGUCGCGUCUGCUGUGAAAUUUCGGGGCUCAACCCCGAACUUGCAGUGGGUACGGGCAGACUAGAGUGUGGUAGGGGAGACUGGAAUUCCUGGUGUAGCGGUGAAAUGCGCAGAUAUCAGGAGGAACACCGAUGGCGAAGGCAGGUCUCUGGGCCAUAACUGACGCUGAGAAGCGAAAGCAUGGGGAGCGAACAGG